AUGUAGCCCUAAACACUCCGGUUUCUCCGCGCCGUCCGCGACAGCUGACGAUUGCUCGCUACGCGUUGUUAGUC
rnacentral:sRNA from 2 species